rnacentral:lncRNA from 1 species
GCGGCCGCUUCCUCCCUCCUCGGCUCCCCGCUGGGGGCGUCCUGGCUCGGGAGCCGCCGGGAGUGCUAGGCCGUUGCGCCCACCUGGCCCUGGUGUCAGGGUGAGGGGCGCCUGCGGUCUUGGGCCACCCUUGCGCUUGGCAAACUGAAGGCCAGAGGGGGGUUGACCGCGGGGCACUGAGUUGGGUACAGGGCUGGGGAGGAAUCAGGGUCUCGUGCCCUCCCCAGGCAUAUUAGGGUGGGAGGGGCAUGGACAUUGAUAGGAGUCCCAGGCAGGAGCAGGAUUCGAGAGACAGGACCCCCCACUGGGCACCACCUGGGCCCUGAGUCUCCCUCUUCCCACCAAGCCCUGGCCCCACCUCUGAGCACCCCCCUCCCCCUCCCUCAAUCUUCUCCCCAGCCCCUCCCUCCCUCAGCCCCCUCCCCCAUCUCAGUCCCUCUGCCCUCUAAAGUCCCUGCUCUGAGGAGACUCUGCCCUUUUCCAGGCACCGCCCACACUUGGACAGGUGUCUCAAACCUGCCGGCUCCUCUUCCCAUUGCCACCCUCCUGAGGCACCUGCCAGGGUGCCUCAGAGACCCCACACCAACACCCCCAAAACUGUCCCCACCCUCCAAGAGGGGCACAGAUGCCCGAAGACCUACAGGCAGGUGCAAUGGGGGAGCUGGCAGAGGAGAGAGACGUCUUAGCCUGUCCCCAGAUGGAUGGGCUGGGCCUGGGUUGGGGCUUCUCCCAGACCCCAGGGAAGGUCCACAUCCCCUUCUGGUCUGUUGAUUAUAGAGUACACAGUUGAGACCCCUCAGAGAGAGGGGGCUGCAGUGCUGGCAGGGGCACUGGGGUGGGUGGGGGGGUGGCUUGGGGUGGGGAGGCCUGCAGUUCCUUCCCAGACCCGCAGACUGCCCCCCACCCAACCCCAAAGCCUCAGCUGGGAGUGGGAGAGCUGCCCCUCCCCAGACCUCAGGUCUCAGCAGCAAACAUGUACGUGUUGGUCAGUUUCAUUUUGAUUUUUGGCUGUUUCCUUUCACUCCCUUUCUUUUCUCAAACACCCUUUACUCCCACGGCCUCAGAGAGGAAAGUCAAGGGCAGCUGACUGAAGGCUCUUGGUCUCAAGGUUAAGUUUUAUUGAAGGACAUUUACCUGUCUCUAGACUGUCCCACCUGGACCAGGCACCAGGCUCCUGGGCUCUGGGGGUUUUGGUUGGGCCGCGCAGGGAGGAUGACACUGAUGUCCCCGGAUCUGUCUUGGGAGGGGGUUGAGGGCAGGCAGAGGUAGCUGAGGGUAGCAUGGCAGAGGCUGGAGAGGAUUAACAACCCACAAGAGGGGCACCCACCAUCCCCCACCCCUGUGGGCAUGGAGUCCCAAGAGCACAGGACCCGAAACACCUUCUUGCCAGCUUCUCAUCCACCCUUCUGGGGCCUCCCAAGAGACACAGAGAUGCAGGUUCUCUGAAGUCAGGGCUGGAAGUGGGUCCCUUUGUACCUCUGGUCCUCUCUCCAGCCCUGGAGUCCUGAGCAAUGAUCCCACCUCCACCCCCUCCCCAAUGCAGACAAAAUGGCCACAGCAUCUAGGCAUCCCCAGGAUAGGGCAGUCGGGGAAGGGGACCCAGCCACCAGCCUUGGGGCGGGAGCUUCUGAAGCACCCACAUCUUGUCUCCCUCCCAGCAUGGGACUCUAGUUUGGCACAGCCUUGGGAGUUUUCUUGGAGACGGCAUUUUGUGACUCCUUUCACCAAGCAUGGUCCCCAAAUCCUAUCCCUCACCCUUGGGGCCCUGGGAGAUCUGGGACUUCAGAGCAUCCCGGGUCUCAAACCUGCAUUCAGAUCCCUGCCUCUCUGCCUUAAAAAGACCCCUGAGGAGUCAAAAGAGGCUAGUUCUUGCUCAUAUGCAGAAAAGUGAGAUGGGGGAUGGGAGAGGGGUCCCAGACUUUACCAUGAACGAAACCAUCUUCGGGAAAAAAUACUGGGGGUGGUAUUCUUGGACGAUACCUUUAAAAAAAAAAAAAGAAAAGAAAAAAAAGAGAGAGAGAAACAAACGGAAAAAAAGGAAAGCUCAACAUUUUUUAACCCCGUCUAUGUUUUUGUUUGUUUUUUAGCCUCCCAUUUGAAACGUGGUAAUACUGUGAUUCCAUUUCUUGUUUAGCUGGUGAGGGAAGAGGGUGGGCAAGUUUAUGUAACUUUUUCUGUUGUUUUGUUUUUAUUUCCUUUUCCUUUUUUUUUCCCCCCCUAUUUUAAUGUACAGAAAUGCAAACUCUCUCUCUGGGUUUUUUUUUUCUAUCUUCUAUGUUCUAGAAUUUUCUUUUUGUGUGUGUUACUGUGGGAACCUUUCCUCUUAAUGCAGAGAUGGCUUUUGAAUUUUAAGUGAACAUUAAUCAUAUACACAUCUCUAUAUACUUUUUUUUCCUUUGUAAUCUGAAUUUAAAAGGGAAGAUAACUCUAAAAAAAAAUCACUCCCACACCAACAGCUCCUGCCAAGUCAGCAGCGGCAGCAAAUCCUCCUUUCAACUCCAGGCACAGGCUGGAGCUGCCGCAGAUUUUAAAUUAACUACAGUGGUGCAGCCUGUGCUGCUACGUUCCCCAGGAAGCUGGAGAGAAGCGGGAGACCCAGGGAGGGGAAGAGACUUGUCCUGGGUUGCCCAGGGAGCUUCUUGGAGCUUGCUGCUACUCCUUGGUUCAGUUUAGUAUAAUGGGCUGGACACAGGGGACAGGGAGCAGGACAGGCUGUUCAGGACCAUCAGUGUCAGACCUCAGACUAAGAUCCUUAGGAAAAUGUGGAGGAAUGAGAGGUCUGAAGGCACCUGGCAGAGUUUAGCUGAGACACUUCAGGCAAGCAAAAAAUUCCAUCUUGGGCUGGGCACAGUGGCUCACACCUGUAAUCCUAGCACUUUGGGAGGCUGAGGGGGACGGAUCACCUGAGGUCAGGAGCUCAAGACCAGCCUGACCAACAUGGUGAAACCCCAGCUCUACUAAAAAUACAAAAAUUCGGCUGGCCAUGGUGGCUCACAACUGUAAUCCCAGCACUUCGGGAGGCUGAGGCGGGCAGAUCACCUGAGGUCAGGAGUUCGAGACCAGCCUGGCUAACAUGGCAAACCCCCGUCUCUACUAAAAAUACAAAAAAAUUAGCCAGGCAUGGUGGUGCAUGCCUGUAAUCUCAGCUACUCAGGAAGCUGAGGCAGGAAAAUCACUUGAACCUGGGAGGCAGAGGUUGCAGUGAGCGGAGAUCAUACCACUGCACUCCAGCCUAGGUGACAGAGUGAGACUCCGUCUCGGAAAAAAAAAAAAAAAUAGCCAGGCAUGGUGGGCACCUGUAAUCCCAGCUACUUGGGAGGCUGAGGCAGGAGGAUCGCUUGAACCCAGGAGGCAGAGGUUGCAGUGAGCUGAGAUUGUGCCAUUGCACUCCAGCCUGGAUGACAAGAGCGAGACUCUGUCUCAAAAAAAAAAAAAAAUCCAUCUUGAUCUCGAGACUGAGGCCAGUGAUGUGGUUACUCCCAAUAAACCCCUUUGUUGGCCCAUCCCAGGUGAUGGUUGAACCCCACAGGACUUUCUGGGUUCUGAUGCUUACAGGAGAAACUGCAGCUCUGAGAGGUCAAGUGACUGGCUCAAGGUCACACAGCUAUUUAGAGGUAGAUCCAAAAGUAGACCCCAGGCAGGGCGCAGUGGCUCACACCUGUAAUCCCAGCACUUUGGGAGGCUGAGGCAGGAGGAUCACUUGAGGCCUGCAGUUCCAGACUGACUGGUCAACAGAACAAGACUGUAUCUCUACAAAAAUAUAUAUAUAUUUUUUUAAUCAGCCAGGCAUGGUGGCAUGUGCCUAUAGUCUCGUCUACUGAGGGAGAUGAGGGAGGAGAAUCACUUGAGCUCAGGAGUCCAAGGCUGCAGUAAGCCAUGAUUGCACCACUGUACUCCAGCCUGGGCAACACUGCAAGACCCUGUCACUACAAAAAUUUAAAAGAAAAAGCUGGGCAUGGUGGAAUACACCUGUAAUCCCAGCUACUCAGGAGACUGAGACAGGAGGAUUGCUUGAACCCAGAAGUUUGAGGCUGCAGUGAGCCAUGAUUGCGCCAUUGCACUCCAGCUUGGGCAACAGAGCAAGACCCUGUCUCAAAACAAACAACAACAACAAAAAAUAGACUCCAGCCCUCUGACUCUGACCUCUAGACUCCAGCUAAGCUGUGGAGAGGGUGGAAAAUGGGAAGCACAGUCCAGGAGCCCUGAGCAGAAGGAGGAUUUGGGAGGUGGUUGCUGGUUGUCUCAGCUCCUGCUUUCCCCCAUUAGACCCAUCCAGAAAUCAGCUUCCUGCUCUCUCAUGUCCCUAGACCAAGGUCUGCCUACACUGAGAGACCCGGGUGCAGGUGGCCCCCACAUUACAGAAACUCAUAUGAUUGUUGCUUCUGUGACUCAGGGAACCCUAAACCCUCACAGUUCAUACAUGUGGGGAAAUAAAUAUCGAGGCACAGAGAGGGAAGAGAGUCACUCAAGGUCACACAAUGUAGGAUGAAAGAGGAAGAUACUGAUCAGGAGACCUCCUGGGAGAAGCCCUCCUGUCCAGUCUUACCUGGUGCCUUCACUGGCCUCCCUCCAGCCCCCACCAGCAGAACCUGGUGCUAGGCUCACCCUCCCAAGGCCCAGAAAGAGUAUACAGAGUUUGCCGUCUUUUCUAUUUUAUUAUUGCAUUCCUGUCCCAGGGGCCACCUGCUCACCUUCGAAGUCUCUAGCGUUAGAAGUUUCAGGGGAUGGGGCAGUCACAGUGACUUAUGCCGGUAAUGCCAGUACUUUGGAAGGGCGAGGCAGGAAGAUCACUUGAGACCAGGAGUUUGAAAUCAGCCUGGGCAACAUAGCAAGACCCCUAUCUCUACAAAAAAAAAAUUUUUUUUAAUUAGCCAGAUGUGAUGGUGCAUGCCUACAAUCCCAGCUACUUGGAAGGCCGAGGUGGGAGGAUCACUUGAGCCCAGGAGUUGGAGGCUACAGUGAGCUAUCAUCCUGUCUGUAGUCCCAGCUACUCGGGAGGCUGAGUCAGGAGAAUCACUUGAACCCAGGAGGCAGAGGUUGCAGUAAGUUGAGAUCGCACCAUUGCACUCCAGCCUGGGUGACAGAGCGAGACUCCAUCUCAAAAAAAAAACCCCAAAAAACAAAAAACCCUACAGUGUCCGGGGCUGCCUGGAAGGUGACACCCUUAGGUGAGGGUGGCAGAGAAGGCUCAGGAUCAUGGCCUUGGGGCUGUCUCUGGCUUCUCCCUGUGGUCCAAAUUUUAUCAUGUAAUGGGCAGCCUCAGGUGACCCCCAAGAAGAGGUGCCAAGGCACCCCCUGACCUGCCUUAUACAGGAACAGAAAAAGCAAAAGGGAUGAAUUUUGCUAAAAGGAUGCCAAAGCCAGAGGGAAAGGAGUGGGACUGACCUGAGGCAGGGUCACUCCUCCAGAUCGGCUCUGUGGUUGCCUUCCCUUUUAAAUGCGCGUUUUCCCUUCACCCAUCUGUCCACUCCGAUUGGCCUUGUUUAAACAGUGCUUGUCUCCUCUUUCUGUCUGGGGGCACCUUUCUCUCUUCCUGCCUCUCUGUUUCUGUUUGCUUCUGUCAUUGUUUCUGUCUUUCUGUUUCUCUUUCUCCUUCUCUUCCCAUUUCUAUCUCUGCCUGACUUUGUCUGUUCGUCUGUCUCUCUGUCUGUCUGCCUCCUGUCUCUCUCUCUUCCUUUCCAUCCCUCUCCCCCGGCAUGGGCCUCUCUCCCAUGCUGCCAGCCCCUCUGUAGCCCACCCUGUGGUUCUCUUCCAUCAGCUGCUUCCUGCAUGCUCUAUGGAGGUUUUCUGUUGUUCGAACAAUAAAGAAAGCUUGGCUAGUGGAACCCAUUGUUUAAAAAGGAGGAAAAAAAAAGAGCAAACAGAAAUGGCCGUGCAAGAGCCCCCUCCCAUCCCUGGGAUGAGACAAAAGCCACAUUGGCCACCCAUCUACUGGCUCAGAGGGGGAGCACAGUUUAGGGUCACUGUCUUUCCCCCAUUCUGCAUUCCCAAUGCGGAGACCUUCUUUUCUUUUUUAUUAUUGCAUUCCUGUCCCUGAGCACUGAGAAGGAGGAAGUGCCACUUUAUUGAAGCCCAGCUCGCCCUCGCCCAGGGUCCGUGAUAAGGCGGCGGCCGCCGCACCCACGCCGCCCGCGCGGGGGAAGGAGAGCCCGAGCCCGCGCUCGGCGCCGUCGUCCCAAGGUCGCGGAGGCCGCGCGGCGGGCGGGGCGGGCAGGCGGCGGCGG